GAUGACGAGAAACAAACGAAUUGCAAAAGCUGUCAGCUGGAGCAACGAUCGAUACUGGGCAACUUGGGACAAGUGGAUGGAAGUGAUUGACUGGGAAGAUGAGGAAGAGCUGUGCUCCCCAGCAGAAUCACCCUCUGACCAGGCUGACCGUUCCAUCGUGUCACACACCCGAAAGCCAAUUGCCAAGGCAGUUAGCUGGACGGAUGAUGUGUAUUGGGCAGCCUGGGACAAGUGGGAUGAGAUCAUCUGCUGGGGUGAAGAAGGAGAGUGCUCCCCAGCAACUCCACCCAUCAACCAGCCUGGGAGGGAUAAGGGGUUAGACAUGCAUGGGUUAGAGGUUUUUCUGUUAAAUGAAAGGACAGUCUCCAUAAAGCCUGCAGAUGACCACCAAGACAGGCUGAAAAUAGGAGCCGUAGUGGUCGACCUCUGCCAGUUUGAGCUAGAUGGUGUAAAUGAUAAAUUUGAAAUUGUCGAAAUACAAAUUGGAGAGGUCAAAUUGGAGGAGACUGCAGAGAGGGGUUUUAAUUCAGAAUUUGAAUUGGAAAUUAUGGAUGUGGAGAUAGAGGUUGUAGACAGUGAAUUCCAGCUGAAUGCUCUUAAUUGGGAAAUUGCUGGAACUAAAGUGGACAAAUUAUUAGUGGAACACCUGAACAUAAAUAAUCUAGAAGCAGGCAGUGUGAAGGUGUCCACAUCAAAUGGGAAUGUGGUAUAUGUCAAUGGUAUGUGAGUGUGUUUGGUAAUGAUGGGUGUGAAUGGUGUGUGUAAGUGGUGUGUGUGUGUGUAUGAGAAUGGUGAUUGAAUGGUGUGUGUGAGGUAAUGGCGUGUGAGUGAAUGGUGUGUGUGAGUGACAGGUGUGUGAAUGGUGUGUGUGAGGUAAUGGCAUGUGUGAGUGAGUGUGAGUGGUAAUGGCGUGUGUGAGUGAAUGGUGUGUGUGAGUAUAUGGUGUAUGUGAAUGGUCUAUGUGUGUGUGAAUGGGGAGUGAAUGGUGUGUGAGUGACUGGUGUGUGUCUGUAUAUGGUGUAUGUGAAUGGUCUAUGUGUGUGUGAAUGGGGAGUGAAUGGUGUGUGAGUGACUGGUGUGUGUCUGGUGUUUAUGAAUGGUGUGUGUGAGUGAAUGCUGUGUGAAUGGUGUUUAUGAAUGGUGUGUGUGUGAGUGAAUGCUGUGUGAGUGACUGGUGUGUGAAUGGUGUUUAUGAAUGGUGUGUGAAUGAAUGGUGAGUUUUUGUGUGUGUGUUUGUGUGUGUGUGUGUGAAUGAUCUGUGUGUGUGAGCCUGCCCUGUGAUGGGUUGGUGUCCCAUCCUGGGUUGUUCCCUGCCUCGUGCCUGUAGCCUCUGGGAUCCAUCUGACCGCCUGUUCCAAAAGGCAAAUUGAUCCCCACAUCCCUGAACAGGAGAAGCGGUUUUAGAAAAUGGAUAAAUGUUCCCAGAGGUGUGAGGCAACAGUGCUAACCACUGUACCAUGCAUAUGUAUAGGAUAUGUAGAAGAAUACCUGUUGCAGUUAUCUGAUGUGUGUGUUUUUCACUCUCCCUGCCGGCCCCUGGAGGUUUGGGCUUCCCCUUUGAGUCUGGUGCCUCCCAAGGUUUCUUCCUUCUAGGGAGUUUUUCCUUGCCACUGUCGCCUAUGGCUUACUCACUGGGGGCUUUGGGUGGGGGUGCUCUAAAGCGCUUUGAGACAAUGUAAUGUUGUGAUAUCGUGCUAUACUUUGUUGUGUAAUUUUCUAUUUACUCAUGCAAAUAAAUAAUUGUUUGAUAA